rnacentral:SRP_RNA from 1 species
GACUGGGUCCUGCGCGGCAGGGCGUCCGAACCGUGUCAGGGCCGGAAGGCAGCAGCACUAAGGGC